GAUGAACGCUGGCGGCGUGCCUAAUACAUGCAAGUCGAGCGAACGGACGAGAAGCUUGCUUCUCUGAUGUUAGCGGCGGACGGGUGAGUAACACGUGGAUAACCUACCUAUAAGACUGGGAUAACUUCGGGAAACCGGAGCUAAUACCGGAUGAUAUUUUGAACCGCAUGGUUCAAAAGUGAAAGACGGUCUUGCUGUCACUUAUAGAUGGAUCCGCGCUGCAUUAGCUAGUUGGUAAGGUAACGGCUUACCAAGGCAACGAUGCAUAGCCGACCUGAGAGGGGGGUGGGCCAGCCUGGAACGGAGACAGGGUCCAGACCCCGGGGGGAGGAGGCGGGGGGGAACCUUCGACAAGGGCGGAAAGCCGACGGGAGCACGCAGGGGGGGGUGAGAAAGGUCUUGGGAUGGAAAAGCUGUUUUAUGGGGAAAAAAAAUUGGGAAAAUAAUCUGGACACAUCUUGACGGUACCUAAUCAAAAAGCCCCGGCUAACUCCGUG
rnacentral:rRNA from 1 species